AAUCAAUCAACAUUCCCAUCUCUACUGACUCACAUGGCCUGGAACGCAAGUUCACAUACCAAAGAGAACUGAGAAGGGGGAUGGGGGAAAUAACUCUCCAAUUUAUCUAGGUAAGAGCACCACUCCUAUUUUCACUCCAUGAGUGUUAUGCAAGGUCAGCCUCCCCCUCUGCAGAAUGGGAGAGUUCUGGAUGACUUCUCUGAACAGCAUGGGGUCAAGGAUGACUGCCAAGACAUCAGAUGUCAUCACACCUGCCUUUCUCCUGGAUGUCUUUUCUUAUCAUUACAGUUGAAAUGCAAGAGAAACCCUAAAAGAAAUGUGAAGCUGAGAAGGACACAGCUCUCUGACCAUGACCACAGGAAGUGGGCCUGAUGCAGAAGUGCUUCUCCUUCCCCUUGCCCCUGGACCUGAGCCGGAGCUGUCUAUCUACAUGAGGACACCAUCUGGCAACACUGAAAUGUUGCCCUCACUGUAUGCCAUCACCAGGAAGACAAGCAAUAGAUGAUGAGUGAAAAUAAAAUGUUUAGUUGGAAACUAUUUGGGAAUGGCUUUAUGUCCACAUAUGGACACAGCCUGGCUGGAACUGGGGAGAUCUUCCCUUUCUGGUGUCUUUUCAAGGUCUUGAGAUGAGCUCUAACAAAUAUCUCAGGCCAUCUGGCCUAGUUUUUCAUAAUUGUGACUCCUAAAUGUAAACACGGUCCGAGAGAAUAUCGGGAACAAAAAAAAGGCUAAUGAAAUUCUUCUAAUUUAACGGAGUUGUUCUGAGUCUCAUUCAGUUACUUAAACAUUUUUUUCUUUCCUUCUCGCAGUCAUCAAUCCUGGAAAAUCU
rnacentral:lncRNA from 1 species